ACGCCGGCAAAUCCCGAAGUGAAAACGCUGUGGUCACCUUGAUGCCAUGAAGCCCGAAUAAUUCUAGCAACGUCAUUAAUACUAAUGAAUACAUUUGGAAUUUCAAUUCUUUCAGGUUCACCGUUUUCAGGUAUAUCUGGCACACUAAGUCGUAUUAAGUCUUGUUCACUAAUCUGGACAUUUUCGUCAAUGCGUACAUCUCUAUAAAGUGGGUUAUUUCUAGUUAACCAUCUUAAAGCGCUGUAGAAUUUUUCGCGAGAUAUUGUGAACUCUCUUGUGAUGUUCAAAUUCUCCAAACGUUCUGUAACUACAACGAUACCCACCUGGCUGGAAGAUCUUGGAAGCAUAUUAGAUCAAUCUGACAACGGGAAGGUGCUUAAAUUUCAAUUUCUAAUUUUGACCCAAAUAAAUAAAAAACAAAUUCCGUACAGGUCGAGCUAAAUAAAACCGUUUAAAAAUAAAAUCAUAAUAGUGUACAAACUUACAAUUCCAAUUAAUUAUAGUCGAGUUUCGACUACUGCGGGACCUCUAGUAUAAUGAAAUACAUAAAAUAAAUACAUAUAAGUAAUACUAAAUUAAUAGAUACGGCUCCUUUAAAGCCUUCCUGAAUACGUUCUAUCCGUUAUUAUGAUUUUUAAAAUGAUGAAAUAAAUAACUUUACAAAGUUA